rnacentral:lncRNA from 1 species
UUUCUGUCUGCCUCUCAUUGGCAAACAUGACAUUUCAGCAAUUUCUCUAAAGAGGAAUGACUGGGGGGUAUGUACAGCAGGCAUCAUGUAAGAAAAACUCACACCUCACGACAUAUUUGUUUGAUUUAUUCAGCAGACUUCAGCAAAGGAAAGAUGUGAAAGCAACCCUUGAUUGUUGAUUUUUUGUUCAUUCUGAAAAUCACAUCGCCAGAUCCAACACCUUUUUAUCCCAAUCACCAGUACAAGCCACCCGUAUCAGUGUACACUGUGGCUGACCGAUCCAUAGUGAUGCUUUGAGGUGGGUGUCAUUGUGACUGGCUGCUACCUCCCCAUGAGUCUUCUAAAAUAAAACCUGCAAAUUCACAUCUUCCCCAUGCUUCCAGAGAAUGCAUAUUCUUCCUUUGAAAAAAGAAAACCAGGUAGUCGUACAGUGUCCAGAAGGCAAAAGGACAAGUAUGCACUGCCCUACUUACCUACUUUCCACACUGCUGCACAGGAAAAUCUGACAGAGGACAAUAACAAACAUCUCACCAGCUCAUGCGUUCUUUUUUGAUCCUAAUUCCGAGAGACUCACCAAAGACAUGAAGAGAAAACAAACAAUACUUUUCUUGGAAAUAUUGUAAUUGCUGGUACAUUUGUUGUUCUGGCAUAAAGUAGAAAUUGUCAGUUACCAGAACAAUACUCAGUGAACUUAUGAAUAUAUGGUAAAUAUUAAACACAUCCCACUUGGAUGAGAAGAUAUGUGAGUCGAUGAGUAUAGCUAAGUCUAAAGUUAGAUGUGUUCCAUAAACAUAGUGUUUAUGGAGUUGGUGCAUAUUCAC